UACAGAGGAGCCAAGCGUUGUCCGGAUUGACUGGGCGUAAAGCGCACGCAGGCGGAUGCGCGCGUGGGGUGUGAAAUCUGCCGCUUAACGGCCAGGCGCCAUCCCAUACGGCGCGUCGGAGUGAUGCAGAGGUCGAUGGAAUUGCCGGUGUAGUGGUGAAAUGCGUAGAGAUCGGCAGGAACACCCAGGGGGAAACCAGUCGACUGGGCAUCUACUGACGCUGAGGUGCGAGAGCGUGGGGAGCGAACCGG
rnacentral:rRNA from 1 species